GAAAACGUGCGCUGAAAAAGCUUUUUUGCUUCCGACUUCAAAUAAUUUCUUUCAGUUAAUUAAGAAAUAAUCUGGAUUUUGCCCAAAAUUUUAUUUUAAUUGGAAGCUUUUGUGGUAUGCUCUCGGUCGAACUAAUGCUGACAUGCCUAUUAUUGCGCUUUUUAAGGUAAUUAAAAUACUUCAUUGAAAUAGCUUAAAGAACCUGUAAACGAAAGCUUUCUCUGAAUAAUUAUCGAAAGCUUUUACUGAAGUUAAUAUAAAAGAUUUUAUUUUUCGAUUUUUUCAUGCGCCUACAUACAUACAUACAUAUGUAUGUAGUUGCAUAUAAAUGGGGCGUAUCGAACUUGCAUUGUUUUAUGAAAAUUCGGGGUGAAGUUCUUUUAAGGAAUAGAGAUUCUUCAAAGAUUUCCAAGGCUCUUUAAGUUAUAGCUUUUAUGUAGACGUGUACAGAGCAGAGCAGAGCUGACUCUGAUCGCGACUGAUCUGAAUCAUAGAUAAUGUAAACCUUUUGGGACAAGCUGUCAAUAAUAAUUUUACUUUAUUAAAUCAAAUCUGUUUUAUAAGCUUUGUGAGCUUUAAAUCAAUAAGAAAAAGUAACGUAUUUGUUCUACUAUUCAAAUAAAUUGUAGAUUAAAUUUGAAGAAAAGUUCAGUUUAAUUAUUUGAAAGCUUGUGGACGUUUGAAAGCUUAUUGAAAAUAUGUAAAAGCAAAAAGAAUGCUUUAAAAUUGUAUAAGUGCAUCGUCCGCGGAGAAUUUUGGCAAAAGCUCCAGAAAUCAUGUUACGGAUAGUUUCAAAACUUUAUGACAGCUUUGUGAGCUUUACAUCAAAUAUGAGAUUGAAGGCAUUUGUUGAUAUCAUCACAAGACACGAAUAAAGGCGCAAGUUCAAAAGUGGACCGCGAAAAAGACGCACUUCAGCGACGAAAGGCAUCCAAACCUAGCCGGCGGCGAAGAAAGACGCGUUAACUUGUUUUCGCGGUCAACUAUGUUUGCGAGUAUAAUAAUAGUAUGUAUAUUCCUUAAAAAGUUGUUGGGGAAUAAUGCUGAAGUGACUGUCCUUGGCUAGGUAUACAUCUAUGAUUACACGCCUUUCUUCGCCGUCAACUAGGUUUACACAUCUUUUUUCGUCCAUGCGUCCUUUUUCGCUGUCAAAAUAAUGGCUCGCCUUUAUUCGUGUCUAGGGACGAUAUGUACAUAGAUAUAGUCUAAUAACAUUUUUUAAAUUUAUUGAGAAUUUUUGGCGGAUUUAAAAUUGUAGUUUGAAGCGGUGGUGGGUAUCAGCUUGCUCGCGGGCAAAACUCUUUCAGCUUCUCAUACUAAAUGUAUAUAAAGUUUUGAAAGAACUUUGCCCACGGACAGGCCGGUACGCACCACCGGUUUAAAGCUUAACGAUUAGCAAAGGAUUUUUUAGGCAAAAGCUUAUUUCAGGAAACUUUUAAACAACUUUUAAGAAAGCUUUUAAGUGGCCCAAAAGCGAAAGUUGAGAUCGAAAAAGCUUUUAAAUAUGUUUUUUCCCCAAAGACCAACGCUUUGAAAUUAUCUGGAUAACCUUUCGAAUAAAAUCAGAGGCAAGGAUAUCUGAUACCUAGGCAAAUUAUAAAAAACUUGUAAAUUUAAAAUUUAUUAUUAAAGUGCAAACAUCUUUGCUAACUUAUUAAGCAUUAAAUUGCUAUUCAACGAUUUUUUAUUUAUUUUGAAAUGUAAAGGUUCUUUACGGCAUAAAUGCUGCUUGCAUUAAGUUAAGUUUUAUGCAAAUUCCUACUAUGUAUAAAUAUAGUGGUAAUAACGGUAUUGUUUGUAUACCCACUAGCUGGGAUAUUUUCGGACGCAUUUUACUUAGUGUGCUUGUUUUUGUAGGCGUGUAGGUGUGUUGUUUGUUAGUGGGUGUGAACUGGGGGCGUGUCUAAAUGAACUUAUCAAUACGAUUAUGGGUAAAAGCUAUGCAUAAUUUUGUUGUGCUUUUAAAAACUUUCUAUUUUUAUAUACAUUUGUAUG